rnacentral:rRNA from 1 species
GAUGAACGCUGGCGGCGUGCUUAACACAUGCAAGUCGAACGAUGAUGCACCGCUUGCGGUGUGGAUUAGUGGCGAACGGGUGAGUAACACGUGAGUAACCUGCCCUUGACUCUGGGAUAAGCCUGGGAAACUGGGUCUAAUACCGGAUAUGACCUUUCACCGCAUGGUGGGGGGUGGAAAGCUUUUGUGGUUUUGGAUGGACUCGCGGCCUAUCAGCUUGUUGGUGGGGUAAGGGCCUACCAAGGCGAUGACGGGUAGCCGGCCUGAGAGGGUGACCGGCCACACUGGGACUGAGACACGGCCCAGACUCCUACGGGAGGCAGCAGUGGGGAAUAUUGCACAAUGGGCGGAAGCCUGAUGCAGCGACGCCGCGUGAGGGAUGACGGCCUUCGGGUUGUAAACCUCUUUCAGCAGGGAAGAAGCGAAAGUGACGGUACCUGCAGAAGAAGCGCCGGCUAACUACGUGCCAGCAGCCGCCGUAA